GCGGGGUCCCUUCUGGUGAGCCGGCAUGCCCUUCGCUGGGUGUGCUGGGGAACCAGGACUUUUACUUUGAAAAAAUUGGAGUGUUUAAAGCAGGCUUAUGCUUGAAUACAUUAGCAUGGAAUAAUAGAAUAGGACCUCGGUUCUAUUUUGUUGGCUUCUAGGACCGAAGUAAUGAUUAAUAGGGAUAGUUGGGGGCAUUAGUAUUUAGUAGCUAGAGGUGAAAUUCUUGGAUUUAUGAAAGACUAACUUCUGCGAAAGCAUUUGCCAAGGAUGUUUUCACUAAUCAAGAACGAAAGUUAGGGGAUCGAAGACGAUCAGAUACCGUCGUAGUCUUAACCAUAAACUAUGCCGACUAGGGAUCAGACGAUGUUAAUUUACUGACUCGUUUGGCACCUUAUGAGAAAUCAAAGUUUUUGGGUUCCGGGGGGAGUAUGGUCGCAAGGCUGAAACUUAAAGGAAUUGACGGAAGGGCACCACCAGGAGUGGAGCCUGCGGCUUAAUUUGACUCAACACGGGGAAACUCACCAGGUCCAGACAUAGUAAGGAUUGACAGAUUGAGAGCUCUUUCUUGAUUCUAUGGGUGGUGGUGCAUGGCCGUUCUUAGUUGGUGGAGUGAUUUGUCUGCUUAAUUGCGUUAACGAACGAGACCUUAACCUGCUAAAUAGUUAUGCCAACUUGAGUUGGUAGUCAACUUCUUAGAGGGACUGUCGGCGAUAGCCGACGGAAGUUUAAGGCAAUAACAGGUC
rnacentral:rRNA from 1 species